UCUCAUCUCCAAGAGGUCUCAUGAUGUAUUUGCAAGUCUUCUGAAAUCAAAGAAAAUCUGGAUAAUGGAGCAUUUCUGGUCCCAAAUAUUUUGUAUAAAAGGGACUCCACCGAGGUCCUGUGCAUUCCUGAGCAAGGUUUACAGUUCAUGUGACACAUGCCGUGGCUGGAAUCCUGUUAUUUUGCUUUCCCCUCUAAUAAAAAUGGGACUCUGCAGCAAAACAAACAGCCUUGGGAAUAUCCUGCCUGCAUCUGCUUCAGUUGGCAAGGCUGGAACUGCCUUUCUUCCGAAUGCCAAGCAAAAAAGGCAAUUUUUGGACUAUUUCCCUGCUUCGAGCAGAUUGUCCUGCUCACCAGAUUAUGAGGCCAUUUUAUCCCAAAUGGCUGUGAUCCCGGUUAAGUAUCAGCAAUAUCCCAGCAAUGGGUUUUGGAUGAAGCCAAAAUGAACUCCUGGGCUUCUAUCGGGCACCUUGAAGGCCACUGCUAAACGCCAUCGCUAACGGAAGUGACAGGCAUCAGUGAAUGUAGACAGCUGCUGACAAUGGGGAUUUUGCUCUCUGGUUCGGGGUGCAUCUUCACUAUAGAGUGAAUGCAAUUUGAACUGCAAUGCCCAGGAGUUGUAGUUUUACAAGGUGUUCAGCCUUCUCUGCCAAAGAAUGGUGGUGCCUCACCAAAAAUAUAACUGCCAGGAUUGGAUAGCAUGGAGUCAUGGCAGCUCAAGUGAUGAAAACAUUAGGGGAGUGUGAAACAACAGAAAUCUGUUCUGUUUUCGGUUCAGUUUUUGGAAAAUUCAGAAGAUUUGGGAGGGAGGGUUUUCGAAUCCGUAAUUCAGGAUCCAGAGUAUAUAAUCCUUCUAUCAAUAGGGCUGUUUUGCAUUGUUUAUCUGACCAAAUAUGUCCAGGGGCUGAUAAUUCCUACACAAGACAAGGCUAAGAAGGAAUCAAUAAAUUUGAAAGGGUAACCAGGCCUCUGAAUAUCUGGUAUUAUCACCUUUGGUUUUCUGUACUUCUCACUAUUGUCUUCUCAUAGAAUCACUAGCUGUGCCCGGCCACGCAUUGCUGUGGCUUUUUUUAGUGGUGUUGGUCAAUGUACAUUAGGUUUUAUUUUUGCUGUGACCCUGUCCCUCUUUUAUACUCACAAUUAGUAGUAGUUGUUGAAGUCUGGCCGAAAGCCUACGGUUCCGGCAGCUGCGAGGCCACGGAGGGGGCAGGGCCUGGCGCCUCCGCGGCCUCCUCGGCUACUGGGGAAGGACGCAAACCAAGGCCCGCAGCUCUAGCGGCCACCUGGAGCCUUCGGGAGGUGAGUCUGUGGCGGUGGAGAUCAAGAGAGAGGAUGAGCAAGGGGUUGACAGUUUUGUGUGUGUGAACGCAGCGCAAGGGUUCGGAGGAUUGUGUUUGUGCGCAUGCGUACAUUGCCUGUUACGGUAUUUGGCCUUUUUUUGGGUCUUGUGAUUGUGUUUUUAGUGUAAUUUUGUUCUAUCGUACUUGACGUGAGGAUGAUGGGUUGUGUUGUAAAUUUUCUAGUUUUCGGGUUUUUGUGUUUUGCUGUUUUGUGCGUCGCCACGACGCCAAAAGCCUUUUAUAUAUAUAUAGAUAGAAACAUAGAGUUGGAAGAGACCUCACGGGCCAUCCAGUCCAACCCCCUGCAAGAAGCAGGAAAAUCUCAUUCAAAGCACCCCCGACAGAUGGCCAUCCAGCCUCCAGAACUGGACAAUAAGUCAAUCAAGUAAUCAUCAGCAUACCACGUCAUCAUACUCCUCAGUUUUGCACUCACCUUAGAGAACCUCUUGUCUCACCCAUGAUGCAGAAGGAAGAUUUGUCUAUUGGUGCCAAUGGGGGAACUUGCAAGGCUCAUAUUUCUGUCAUUUUUUCUGGCUAUCAGGAUAAAACUUGCCACACUUGUAGGACACUUUUACGACUGCAAACCUGCCAAGUUUCAAAUCAUUUUGCCAAUCCUCUGAGUUUGGAAAUUUUAAAAAAGUUUUUACCAAAUAAAAAAAUAUAUAUUUAAAAGCCAUAAGAGGGAUUUCUGGGAUGUGAAGUCCUAACGAGCGCAUGCCGCAAGAGGAGAGAAGAAUGGACAGAACCAGGCCUGUGAUUGGCUGAGAAAUGUGAUGAACUUGCCACUCAGCCCCAUCGCCGCCACCAUAGAGACAUUGCUGCUUGCGCUUGCAAAACAAACAAAUGCUCUGAAUACUAAUGUGAAAAAUAUGUCAGAGUGCGGUUCGGAUAAACACACAUGCAGCAGAAGACUCACAUAGAAGCACUGGCACCAGUAACGAGGCUGGAGACUUCAGCUAUCUAUAAACAGGUUUACUGGCGAACGGAAAACUCUCACAAGACGAUACACAUACAGACAGAGUGCAGAGAGCAGAUAACCAGAGAGAGAAUACAGGAAACAGAAAGCUAUAUAUAAACACCUCUGCUGUAUGAUGCAACACUCAGUUAACUCUUUACACACUUGCAUAGUGGACAGCAGACAGUGCAUGAUGCAAUCCCCAGCUCACAUUGCAUCACUAUAACUCAAUUACAUUUAAACAAACCUAUGUACAAUCAUUCCCACUUCAACAAAAUAAGCCCAAAUCAACAAAUCUGUCCUGAAUUUUUAGCCAAAAGAUUAGGUGGCUCCUGUUUCAUUCUGGGAAGGCUCCAAGGGGAUCCUUAUUUAUAUAUUUAUUUCAGACAUUUAUAUCCCGCCCUUCUCAUCCCCGAGGGGGGACUCAGGGCGGCCUUCUCAGAACCGUUUCCGGAGGCUUGGCUGCCAGAUCUCAGAAAUUAUCUGAAAACUGAUUUGACCAACGAAAUUUUGCACACCCCUAGAAAACAUCCCCUAGAACUCUACUAAGACCACAAGUUGAACAUGAGUCAACAUUGUGAUGCAAUCGCUAAAAAAAGCUUAUGUGGCUGCAUCCAUAGGAGUAAAGUGUCUGGAUAAUAGGAAGUCAUAGUCCUAUUUUAUUCUGCUUUGGUCACCUGAAAUAAUAGCCCUGUGUCCAUUUCUGGUCACCAGAAUUCAAGAAGAAUAGGGACAAGAUAGAAGGGGUCCAGAGAAGGGCCUCCAAAAGCCUGGAAACUAUGAAUCCCUCUGAGGAGCAACUUAAAGAGUUGGGGAUGCACAGUUUGGAGAUGAAAAGGGGAAGAAGAUGAAAGCCAUGUUUCAAUAUUAGUAAUGACAUCAUAUGAGAGAUGAUGCCAGCUUGUUUUCUGCUCCUCCAGAGACUGAGACAGAAUGGAGCAAUGGGUUCAAAUUGCAGGAAAAGAGAUUCCACCCAAACAUUAGGAAGGACAUCCUCAGAAGGGUUGGCACCAAGCGCAGGGCUUGGAUUGCAUGAACUGAAAAUCUGGAGAGGCAGAUGGCAUUAUCAGGAGGAGAAGAAAACGACACUGAAAAUGGCAGAGAUGUAUCCGGGAUGGGCGACGCAUGUAUAAAUGCCUCUAUGGAAGAAAUUUUUUCCCCUGUAUGAAACCUGAAUGACACUCAUGGUUCUAUUCCGCACAGCUGUGCGUGGAUAAUACAGAGUAGACUUUCCAUUAAACAGAACUCAGGCAACCAGAACUCUCAAGCAACCAGUCAAAAGAAUUAAUAUUUUAAAUAAAAAAUGAAAUAAAAUCAAUUAUAAUUAAAAUUGCAUAUUGCAUUCACAAUUUUAGCUAGACGGCAGAUAAAAUUUUUAUUAUAUAUAAUACAGUUAAACUGUAUUCCAUUACGUUUGUCUUAAUUUCUUUUGAAUUCCUGUAUUUCAAUAUGAAUAGCAAGUCAAUAAAAAGUUUAUGGUAUGGUAUAGUAUUGGGUAUAGGAUUAGUUAUGUCUAUUUUUAAUAGUAACUCUCAAGCAACCAGCGACUACAUUUGUUGUUGUUGUUGUUGUUGUUGUUGUUGUUUAUACCCCACUUUAUCUCUCCCAAAUGAGACUCAAAGCAGCUUAACAUAAAAGCAUUGCUGUCAGGCUUUUGUUUUGCCUAUCAAAAGGCUAGCAGAGAGAGCCAUAUAAGAGAGCUAAAGCUUCAUUUCCCACCUCCCUCCUGUUCUCAGUUCUGCAAUGUAAGAAUAAAGUAAAGGUUUUCCCCUGACAUUAUGUCUAGUUGUGUCCGACUCUGGGGGGUUGGUGCUCAUCUCCAUUUCUAAGCCGAAGAGCCGGACUUGACGUAGGUACCUCCAAGGUCAUGAGGCCAUGGGCAUGACUGCAUGGAGUGCCAUUACUUUCCCACCAGUACCCAUUGAAUUACUCACAUUUGCAUGUUUUCAAACUACUAGGUUGACAGAAGCUGUGGCUAACAGCAGGAGCUCACCCUGCUCCCUAGAUUCUAACUGCCAAACUUUCAGUCAGCAAGUUCAGCAGCUCAGCGGUUUAACCCACUCCGCCAUGUAUUAGCAUACAUUUUAAAAUGUAUUUGGCAUAUCUACUGCACUUGCUUUGGCCCAAUCUACACUUCCAUGUAAUGUAGUUUAGCUGCCUUGAACUGUAUUAUAUGCGCCCACACUGUCAGAUAAUGCAGUUCAAACCACUGUGUUGCAGAAAAUCCUCCCGACUGAAAGACCGGUAGUUUGAGCUUGGGUGGGGUGAGCACCCGCCGCAGCCCCAGUUCACCUGCCCACCUAGCAGGCCGAAAGCAGAAAUGCGAGUAGAUAAAUAGGUACCGCUUUUAGCGGGGAGGUAAUAAAGGCGCCCUUAAGGACAUCAAUCAGAAGGAUGUCUAAGGACGACAAAGCUCCUCGGCAUGAAAGAUGGAGCAAUGGCACCCCCUGGUGGCCGGGGUCAAGCACAGCCUCCAAGAUGCCAGAAAUAAGAUGGGAAAUGUAUUUACUUCUCUUUGUGUACUGUCUGUCCUUGUUAAUUGUAUAACAACAUUGAAUGCUUCCUGUAUGUGUGUUCUGUAAUCUGCCCUGAGUCCCCUCGGGGAGAUAGAGUGGAAUAUAAAUAAAGUAUAUUAUUAUUAUUAUUA